rnacentral:rRNA from 1 species
GUUGACCUCGGAUCAGGA